CGUGCCUCUUCAGGAAAGUAUAUCCCACAAAGCUUGUCACCAUUACACAAAUCAAGGCCACGGAGCCUUCAAAGAGGCCUUUACUCUGAGCAGCUCUUUGCAAGUCAAAAAUGCCUUUUGUGGUUUCCUGAAAUAAGAAUUGCAAGAAGUACCAGACUGAAAACUGCAUGGAGGGAGCAAAAGGCACAAAGGAAGCUGCACCACCUUCAACCCAAGAUGCUUAAUCCAAAGACGGUUAAAGAAAACUUGACUUCAGAGCUACCCUGUAAGUUCUUCUACUUUAAUUUUGAGGUGUCUGAGUUCCUGCAACAAACCCUGCAGAGGAAGAAGGAAAUGAAAGGAUCUUGAGGUGGAGGAGGAGUUAAGCAACAGAUGCGGGAGGAAUCAGGAAGAUAACACAGAAGAAAAAGUAAUUAUUUGAAAGUGUACCAGUUUGCUGGUCAGCUUCUUGGAUUUGGGUGUUUCAGUGAUACACACACACAAAAAUCCAGUUUAGAAAGCAAACCAAAGUCAAGUAUGAAAAUCCAUAUGAUAUUUCACCUAAACUCCCCAACCCUGUAGCAAAUAGCACUGAGUACUUUUUCAGGUAUCACGAGCGAAGUGCCUUUCUCUUAGUUUUCAGGGACAUUAAUAACUAAUAAGUUUUGUGGUUUCUCAGUCUUCUCAAGUGGAACAAAUUUGAGGAGCUUAAUCCAUCUUUCAAAGGAGAGAAAAAGAUUUCAGUGGAGAGAACAACAGAUGACGUGGCAAAUAAUUUUUUUAUUAUUUUCUUCAUUAGAGUUGCCAACAAUCCUCCUGUAACCUCAACUCUGCAGGAAAAUCAGAAGUCUUAGAGCUAGGGAACAGCUAGGGCAGGGCAGUAACAGCAUCCACAGUCAACUUUAAACAUUCACAAAGAUUCACCUAACUCAUACAAAAGAGUUCCACGCAUUUGAGUAUUUUCUAGCUCAGUGUUUAAGAUGAAAUCCAGAAAAGCUUUACAUCCAUUUUACUUUGUACAUAUUAUGCUCAAGCUGGAUCACAAUGUCUGAUGCUCAUCCUCUUUCACCAAGCAAACCUUUAAUGGACAUCAAUGAGGAUUAGGUUUGGUUUUUCACCAUCCCCUCCACCAGGUACCUCCCAGAGCAGCGCCAGCUGGGGAUGGGAACUGGCAGGACACACACAUCCAUCUCCCUCACUUUCUUUUAGCACCAAGCCUUGGUCUGUGCUCCUCUUGGGCAGGAGCUCAGUCAGCCCACGCCAGGGUCUGGAUGGAGAGGGGCAGCUCCAAGAGGAUGCAGAUCUCUGAGCACAAACUGGCAGCUGCUCUGCUUGUGGUGACAUGGGGGAGUCCAGAAACACUUCUGCUGCUGCCUUGCAAUUCUCUCUUUUGCCUUAUCAUUAAAAAAGGGGAAAGGGAAGCGUCCACAAACCCCACAGGACCAACUUGACGGUACAGAGAUGGCAGAAACCCUAAUCCCAGGGGAAUUCUAGCUUGUGCCUUUGCAAUUGUUUCCAGGUUCAAGGUAGAACAGGACUUUUUGAGAUUCUUUCCCAGCAUGAGCAUUCAUUAACACUCACUACAACACCUUGACUCAGAUGAGACAGCACACCAGACUCCCCAGAGGGAGUCAGUGCCUCACUGACUCAGGUUUCUUUGGAAUUGCAAGUAGCUUUGACUAGAUAUUUAAUUCAGAAGUUGCAAGAGCCUCAAAACACUUGCCAGCAGCUUACGGCCAAACCCACAGACUUAUCCCAUGCUACAAAAGGAAGAAGCAGGACAGACAGACAGUCUCUUUUGUCCACAUUCAGGUAGAACAGACAUCUGGGCAGCCAUAAAUCUCAUGACAAGGCUACUUCCUCAUACCUUGCUACAUUAAGAAAAACACAUUUUCAAAAUUUCUGAGGCUUCUCAGGCAAAAGAAAAGCCACACAACCCCUUCAGGUGAGAGUCCAGAAACCUUCAUAGCAUUACUGUGUCAAAAGUAGGACAUUAUUCCCCAGAAAAGGAAUUAAAGUGACAAAGCCAGGAGUGAGACAGUCCAUGUACAAGCAGCUAUUCUCCUGGCCCAUCUGCAAUAUAUAUAAAUAAAUGGCACUUUAUAUUUAGUAUGGACUUUUGAAGAGCCAGGGACAAGUGGCAUUCAGUGUGAAAUCAAUACCUUUGAGAAGAGGUUAGAGAUGCUUGAUAAACUCUUUGCUGCUCACUAAAACCAAACCUAAAUGACAGCUGCACAAGAUAAAGUGAAACCAAUCUUACACAUUAAAACUCACUCACAUUUAGAAGGAUGUCUUAAUUUGCUUUCUUUCCUCCCAGCCCAACCAGAAAAAUAAUGCUAUAGAUAAAUUCUAAGUGACUGGAAACAGCUGCUGUGAAAUAAGCCAACACAAAAUUAGAAUAGAGAGAAAACAUGGUUGAGCUGAAUGAUCCUGCAAUGCCACAUUAAUUUAAAACUUUUAAGCCCCAUUAUUAUAUUUAGAAAUAGUAGGGUCAGCCUUGAAGUAUCUGAGCAAGCUAUUUAAAAUUAUUUAACUACUGGAUGCCAAAACCAAGAGCAAACUACAGGUAGACUCUUUUUGUCAAAGGGUUUCUUCAUUAGAAAGAUGUAGUUGGGCAGUGGAAGCAAAGAGUUCAGGAAAACACUCAAAAUAUUACCAAAUUUAAGCAGCUGUAAUCUAAUAAUGUAAAGAACAUAAAAAAUUUCAUUUUGAUGUUUAAAAUCAUGUCUGUAUUGAAAAAUUAGUAUAAUUUACAGGAAAAGGAGCAGAAAUAGGGUCUAAGCAUUAGAAUUCAACUAAGCAUCUAAUUUGAUUGAAAGCAACUCGUGAUAAAUGGGAUUUAUGCUUAUUCAGGAGAAUCUGAAAUAAAUACACAAAUAACUCAACAAGAGAACCAAAAAUGCUGUUCUGUUUCCCACGCCUUUCCUUGCUUUGCACACACAAAUUUUGCAACUUUCAACGUGCCAGAAACCUAAUCACACCUUGGGAGAUAGUAAAUAAUUCAGCACACACUCAACACAACGAUUCUCAACUUCUCCAUCAGAUUAGAAUCCUUUUUUCCAUCUGAGCAGGAACGUGUCCUAUCACUUUGUAGCCCCACCAAGGCAUCCAGGCUGUUAAAGCUCAACUUUCCCACCCAAGGGGGCACACACCACACUGCAGCAGCAGCAGAACUUCACAGCUCACAGGACCAGACCUCCCAGGCACCCAAAAGUCCUGUCCAUAAAAAUGCACCCAAAA